rnacentral:rRNA from 1 species
AGAACGAACGCUGGCGGCAGGCUUAACACAUGCAAGUCGAGCGCCUCGCAAGAGGAGCGGCAGACGGGUGAGUAACGCGUGGGCGACCUGCCUUCGAGUGGGGGAUAACCUUCCGAAAGGAGGGCUAAUACCGCAUGACAUACCGCGUUUGGAUACGCGGAUAUCAAAGCCGGGGAUCGCAAGACCUGGCGCUUGAAGAGGGGCCUACGUCCGAUUAGCUAGUUGGUGGGGUAACGGCUCACCAAGGCGACGAUCGGUA